rnacentral:rRNA from 2 species
AGUCAAUGAUCGAAAGAUUGAUCUAGUUACUUAGAAUGAAGAAUAAUAAAUAAAAUUUUUAUAAUAAGAGGAAUUAUAAGAAAUAAAAAAAAAAUUUAAAUGAAGCAAAUAUAAAAUCAAAUAUAAAUUGAAUAAUGAUCAAUAUUAUAUAAAAGUCUUGACCAAAAAGAGUGCCAGCAGUAGCGGUUAAACUUUGGAGGCAAACGUUAAUCAAUAUGGCUUAAAGAAUCCGCAGUAUGUUUUCUAAAUUAAAGAGGAAAUAGUGUUUUAAAUAAAGAUUAAAGAAUAAUUUAAGUAAUGAUGAAAUAUAUGUAUAUAAAUUAGACUAAUAAGAAUGAAAAUAUUAAUCCAAAUUAAAACAGACAUUGAGAGGAUGAAGGCUUAAGGAGUAAACUGGAUUAGAUACCCAAUUAAUUUAAGCAGUAAACUAUGAAUACUAUUAAUAAUAAUAUAAGUGAAAACUAAGUAUUCCGCCAGGUGAGUAUAUUCACAAGAAUGAAAUCCAAGACAAUAGACGGUUGUAGGUAUAAGCAGUGGAUUGUGUUAU